ensembl:lncRNA
AGCUCUUGAGCUUUGUAGAUGAGGAAGAAAGCAAAGCAUUUUUGUUUAGAGAAGAAAUAAUAGAGAGUUCUUUUGUGAUCAGGAGAAAAGUUGUGUCUUAGGGUAUUAUUAUUAUUGUUAACCUUUUCUUCCACUUUACUGAAGAGACAAAGGCUCUCACUACUCUGGAAAGUGCUUUGCCAAUGGAAUGGCUCCAGUUUGUAAGCAUGUUGUGCAUUACUGCUGUCUUUUCUACUGAGAAGAAAAAUAAAUGUUAUACUGAGGAUAUUUGAACAGAAACUGAAAUUUUGAGAAUGAGAGUGAAAGCCAUAACUUGAUAGUGAAAAACACGCUGAUGAAGUGUCAUGUUAAAAACAGACCAGCAUAGGCAGAACCGACUCACCUAAAACAACUCUGAUUCAUCUUCAUAUGAAAUGCAUGCUAUCUUGAGCAAAUUUCUUACCCUUUAAGCAUAUGAAGGCUGGUACGUACCAGUGUUCAUGGAGCAGUGCUUAAUAAUAAUGCUUUCCUUCCAGU